rnacentral:lncRNA from 1 species
UAACUUUUAAAUAAAUUUCAAUUUCAUAUAAUAGCAAAUGUUAAGUACAUUUGAUUUGAUUUACAACUCUGAUAUUAUGCAAAUACAUAAAGAAAUUAUGUCUAAAUUUUGCGGGGAAAACAUCAUGACUGUGGUUGCCCAAAUAGCUGAUUAUGGUUGUCACACUGGGACAAUAAUACAAUUCACAGACGACACAAAAUGAUAAAAUUGUCAUUAGGCAGAUAGGAAAGAAACAAAGUGGGAAAUUCAACACGCAAAACAUGAUGAGCCCAGAAUCAUCACUCGUGAGUACGGCAAAAGCAAAAUCGAUCUGCUUUAUUCUGUUUGGAUGAAUACCAGAUUUGGUAUUGCCACCUCAAAUAGCACGUGGAGCCACCAUGUCACGCCAUGGGGAAACACAUCACCGGCCCCAACUCCAUGGUCCACGCCUAUUUCUGCAGUCAAAGGGAGAACAAAACACUAUCAGUAUCACUAAUUGAGAGUCAAAAGGAUUUUGCACCAAUAACGUCAUCAUUAUGUAGAAUUCAUAUGGAUUACAUGGUAUUAUGAAUUAAAAAUCAAGUUCAAAUUAAAAAAAAUAAAAAUAAAUCAUUCUUCAGAUUGUUUAUACUAAAAGUUCAUCUACAAACCUUAAACUAGCCAAGCUGAUUUGCAUUACAGGCCUAACAGAGAUGCAACUCACAAAAGGACCAUAAAAUCUAAAAUAAAAGAGAGAGCUAGAGGCCAGAUAAUUCUCUGGUUAAUCAGACUUAAUGUAGCAUAAUGGCCAAGCGCAGAAUGGCAUUUGAAUCAAAGAGUGAAUUCAACUGUCAGUCAUGAAAAAUUUUCGUGAUAAGUACCAGAAAAUGGCUCACUUGGGAGUAAUAGGAAUAUCAGAAUAGAUACCAGUCUGGAGGCUUAGUUCUGGUCUACUAAAUAUACGCGACGUUCCUUAAAACACAUGCAUGACUUCAAGUAUAGAAGUAGUUCAUAUAGGAUCCUGCAUCAACAACCACUCAAAAGAAAAAUGACAACAAACAAUCUAGAGUAGAGAAAGAAUGUUUCUGUAACUGAUCAGCAAUUAGAAUGCAAAUGACAAGUUUAAACAUCGAGAUCAAGGCAGUACCCUACAACUCACCUCAAGUUUGCAAUACUGAAUCGAGAUCAAGGUGUACAUGUUCAUCCCUCAUUUUUUACACAACUAAAGUCCUACGCAAGUCCACUAUUCCUACUAUCACAUCUCCAAAUGUCACAAGCAUAGCAAAUUAACACCAACUGUGGUUAAUGUAUGUUCAAAAGAAAGCAGACUUGAUCAUAUUCAUCAGGAGUAACUGGCCUCUUGAGGGGAGUGACAACGUCCUGAAAUAAUGCUGUUCUCAUAUCUGAAAAUGAACAACAGAUUAAAUAAAAGUUAAAGGCAGUAAGUUUAUUCACCCAACCCGUCUUCCUCCCCAAAGAAGUACCUCAGCACACGUGAAGUAACAUACUCAAGCUGCAAGAAGAAUGAAUAAUACAUACGGUGAAGAAGUCCACUAUCGAAUAUAGGUAGUCCUACGAGUCUAUGAUCAAAACCUAAGAAGCACGGAUUCGGGUGUGUGGAUAUGGGUGCGCAGUACGAGAAUACGGGGAUUCGCCAAAUUUGAAAAAAAUAGGGAUUCAGGUGCUGCAGGAAUACAACGCAUAUAUAUAUAUAUAUAUAUAUAUAUAUAUAUAUAUAUAUAUAUAUAUAUACACGGUCCGGAUCUUAAGCUCACCCCUUAUCCAACUCACUCGAACUCACCCCCCCUUUAGCGACAGACCUGGCAAUAGUUCGGUCAUGCAAUCUUCGUCUAUACUUUUAGCGACGGACAAUAUAUAGCGUCGCUAAAAGUAUAAACGACGGUUGUAUGAUCGAACCGUCGCCGGGUCCGUCGCUAAAGGGGGUGAGCUCGGGUGAGUUNNNNNNNNNNNNNNNNNNNNNNNNNNNNNNNNNNNNNNNNNNNNNNNNNNNNNNNNNNNNNNNNNNNNNNNNNNNNNNNNNNNNNNNNNNNNNNNNNNNNAGAUUCGGACUCUAUAUAUAUAUAUAUAUAUAUAUAUAUAUAUAUAUAUAUGAUAAAAAACAUUAAUUAAACUAAAUACUUCAUGUUAUUCCAACAAAAUAUAUAAUUUCAACAUCCUACAUCACAAUAGCAAAACAUGAAACCAUAAAGUCACACAAAAUCUACGGUCUUAAAGUCAAAAACGAAUUUAUUAAAUAUUUAACAAAUAUAACCCAACCUGCAAGGCAACAAUAAUCAACAAAAGAUAACACAGGAAAAGAUUAUUUUCAUAAUCUCAACAACAACAAAAAAAGAUAAUUCUAUGAGGCCAAAAAAUAUAACCAAGCAAGCAGCAAAGCUAAUUUCCAAAAGAAAAAAAAAAAGGCAGCAAGGAUAAUUUCAAUAAAAGAUAACCCAACAACCAAAAAACAAAAUGAAGAAAAGGCAGCGUAUUAAUGACUAAAAGAAAAUAGAAAGGAGGAAGAAAGAAGAGUGUCAGCGAAGUCGCGCCACUGCCUAAGUCGAGCAGCCGCAGGAGUCCUUCUCUCCGCUGCGAAGUUAUCACUCGUUUCUCCCUCUCGAUCGCCGAAGCCCUAAAGAUACGUUCUUAGGAUUUAUCUUUUCUCUUCCCCUCUUAAUUUUUUUUUCAUAAUUACAAAAUGUGAUACAGCAGCACCCCAUAGGCGCACCCCAAGCACCCCUGAAGCAAAAUUCGGGAAUAUGGCUACUGUCGCACCCCGUACGCACCCCCGUGCACCUAACAAACACCGUGCGCAAUGCAGCAGGGGGUAGGCGCACCACUACUUCCUAGAUUAAAACAUUUCAAUGGAAAGUUGAUAUGUUUAAGCAUGCACCAUUUGAGAAUUUCUAUUUGCUCAGCACUAAACAACAUUAGUACUAGCUAAUAGUCUAAUCCAUGCAUUUCAACCUCCCCCUUGGGAACCAUAGCCGGUUUCAAAACUUGAAAUUUUUCAAUCUACUUAUAAAAUUGAAGAUUCAAAGGAACAUCUAACAGAAAUGUAAACCAUUGUUCUCAUUUUUGAAUCAUACUGACUCGGUCAGUCUACAGCUAUAGUUCACAUGGUAGCCAUUAGCCUGGGUAUAUUUAAUUAAUAUAGGGAUAUCAUAAGUUAAAAUGUUGAGAAAUAUGGACCCUGGACCAUUUUACUCACGGUAGUAAUGGCAGUUGUAGAGCUCAUCCACUAGGUUACCUUCAUAUAUUUGUUGAAUUUUCAAAAAACAAUGAUAAUAUCCAAUCUGAAUGGGCAAUGACUCAAUGGCAGAUCUGAAUUUGAUUAUUUGGGGGGUGAAGGGCAAAAUAGUUCUUGGGAAGUCAUGGUAACAGAACUUAUAUAACUGGCUUUAAAGAAUUGGGGAGAAAAUUAAUAGAAGGAAUCGUGGUGCAGGAACAAUUUAUAUUGUGCGACCUAUCAACAGAGAACUAAAAUGAUGUCUCCUUGCGGUUGAAGCUCAUCUAGAAAUCUCGUGUUGGAAGAUAUAAUUUCCAUAAUUGUAGUUAAUCUUAUCCCAUAAUUAGUGUGUAAACAUUAUUGUAAAUCAGGGAUUUUCAUAACUGUAAAUUAGGAAUUGCUAUACUUGUGUAUAUAAACCAAUGUAAUUGAAAGGAAUUUAAUUAAGAAAGAAUUACCCAAGAUCAGUUUCUUUUCUACAUGGUGUCAGAGCCUCAUUCCUUACCAGAAAACUAGCCUAUUAUUUUCUUUUUCCACUGUCAACCUUAUUUCUUAUUAGAAAACAGGUUGAACAAAUUUGUAUGAAAAAACUUGAGAUUAUAAUUGGGUUACUUAGUGUCAGGUUCAGACCUGUGACCCACCACUGCAUGUUCCCCCACGCACCACCUCACUCCCAAUGUGUCGAUGCCAUGCGCCACCUUCAGACGACGCAAAGGCCUUUUUCCGACAAGCUUCUGACGACGCCACCAUUUCCAUGGUGUUCGUCUCUCUCCUCUCGUUGUCUACAAUAGCAUUGAGGUGCUUGGUUCAGGUUUAUUCAAUUUUUUCCUUUCAAUCGGUUGCUUUUGUGGCUUACUUUUACUACUGUGAUUCUCCUUCUGCAUAAAGUCUGUUUCUCAAUAUAGUGCCCUUAUUUGGUAUCCUUUGGAAAGUUUAUCCUCCUCGGAUUUAUAUUGUAUCUACCUGUUAUAUGGCGGACCUAAGUGGUACUGGCAAUGGGGUUCAUAACAGUAACAUGGGACAACAAGAAGUUGUUAGAAAUCAUACUCUUAAUUCAGCAUUGGUCUAAGUCCCUUCAAACUGGAUGGAACUAACUAUUUGGUAUGGUCUCAAGCGUGCCGCAUGUCAAUUGAGGCUAAUCGUAUGCAACACUUCAUCAAGGGAACAACUACUAUGCCUGAAAAACCGAGUAUGGCCCAAGAAAAAUGGAAAUCUGAUAAUUCUAUGGUGAAGACCUGGAUUUUUAAUUCGAUAGAACCUAGUAUGCGGAGUAGUUACAUGUCUUUAGACACUGCCUAUGAGCUUUGGGAGGCUAUCUCUCAAACUUUCUCUGUCUCUGGUGAUGUCUAAGGCAUAUGACAUUCAUAAACAAAUCCAUGAGUUGGGUCAAGGGGAGAAGACUGUGGCUCAUUAUUUUGUGGAGAUUAAUGCAUUGUAGCAUGAGCUUGAUCAUUAUCAAGUUUUUUCAGCCAAAUGUACGGAAGAUGCAGUAGCUUGUCAAAAGUUAGUUAGUGAAGAUAGAGUUGUGGAUUUCCUGGCUGGUUUGAACAUGGAUUUCCUGGCUGGUUUGAACAUAGAGUGUGAUCAAGUUCGAGCACAAUCAUUCAAUCUCCUGUUAAGAAGGAGUCUCGUGAAUGUGACUACUGUGAGGGAAAAAACCAUAUCAGGGAUCGUUGUUUUAAGUUUCAUAGACGUCCUAAAGGACGAGGUGGUCGGUCUGGUAGUGGUCUUGUACGUGGAUCUCAGGCCUAUAUAUAUACUACAACACUUCAUGUUGAUGCGUCCAGUACUUCAGAAACUACUACUACACUCACUCCUGAGGAAAUUUCAGCUUUCUAAAAAUUCUGUUCCAAAUCUAUUUAUUCUCAUUAUGUCCAGUCAGGUAUACAUUCUUGUGUUUUUAAUGUUUCAUCAAUGCCCUAGUUGGAUCAUAGACACAGGUGCUUCCGAACAUAUGGUCGGGUCCUCCAACCUCUUUACCUUAUAUACGCCUUGCUCUGACAAAGACAAGGUUCGAGUAGCUGAUAGUUCCCUUUGUUCUAUCUCUGAGAGUAGUUCAGUACUUUGUACUCCUUCAUUAACAUUAUCAUCUGUUCUUCAUAUUCCUUCAUUUACUGUAAAUUUAUUAUUUGUCCAACGUCUUACUGAAUCCUUACAUUGUUCAAUAACUUUUUUCCCAACUCAUUGUGUUUUUCAGAACUUGGUGACGGGACAGAAGAUUGGCAGUGGUAGUGAAGUUGGGGGUCUAUAUUAUUUAGAUGUUUCCUCGUCUAACAUGUCUCUAAUUACAGAUGGGACUGCUAAUCAGGCUCUUCAAUCUACUUCUGACUCAAGCAUGACUUCCCUCCAUUAAUGGCAUCGACGUUUAGGACAUCCCUCUUUAUCAGUAUUAGUUUUUAUUUCCAUCUUUAGUUAAGAAGUGUAAUAAAACUCAGUUUGUGUGAACCGCGUGAAUUGGGUAAACAAAAAUGUUCUAUUUAUUCUGCUAUUAACAAUCGACAUUCUGAAUCUUUUGCUAUUAUACAUACUGACGUGUAGGGACCCUCUCGGAUUGUUCCCCGUUCUGGUUAUAGAUGAUUUGUUGGUUUUAUUGAUUGUCAUUCUCGUGGUACUUGGAUUUAUCUUUUUCGUUCCAAAAAUGAGGUGUUUGAUUGUUUUUAGGAAUUUCAUAAAAUGAUUUAAACCCAAUUUUAAGCUAAAGUCAAAAUUCUCCAUAGUGAUAAUGAUCGUGAAUAUAGUAAUAAUAAUGCUUUUGCAUCUUAUCUCUCUCAGCAUAGCAUCAUUCUUCAAACCUCCUGUGUCAAAACUCCAGAACAAAAUGGAGUGUCGAAAAUAAAAAAUCGACACUUACUAGAGGUAGUUCACUCUCUUAUGUUCACUAUGAACACACUUAAAAUUCUAUGGGGAGAUAUUCUAACUGUUGCAUUUCCUUCUAGAAUUCUUGGGAACAUAAGUCGCAUCUCUUUCCUCUAACACACGACAAGUCCUUCUCUUUUGCCUCGAUAAAUCUCCCACUAGGGAAAAACUAGAUCCCAAGGCUCUUAGGUGUGUUUUCAUUGGGUAUUCUCCAACCCAAAAAGGUUAUAAAUGUUAUCAUCCUCCUUCAAACAAAGAAAGUAUUUGUCACUUGGGAUGUAACUUUUUGGGAAUUGAAACCUUUUUAUUCUUCCUCGCCUUGUACUAAGGGGAGGAUGUUAUUGAUGAGGAGAAGCUUUCUCCUGAGACUGGUAUUACAAGUAGUACAAUACCACUUUAUCCUAUAAUCUCUUGUUCCUGUAGUUGUCUCUGUCUACACAAGGGAGUUACAGGAGUCAUAUGCUAAACAGAAUGAGCCUGAGUUAAGGACCUAUGUUCGAAGAGACAAAAAUAAGGUAACAAUUUCUGCACCACUACACUAACCAUGCUCAAAACCUAGUCCUGAUAAUGUUAAUGGUGAGAAUCAUAAUUCUACUUGUUCUUCUGAUGAUACUGACCUUCCUAUUGUUCUUAGAAAAUGGAUUAGAUCUUAUACUCAACAUCCUAUCUCUAAUUUCUUAGCCUAUAAUAAAUUAUCUACAUCAUACCAUUCAUUUGUUUCUUCCUCGUCUUUAAUAUUUGUUCCUCAGGGGUGGAAAGAAACAAUUAGUGAUGAGAGCUGGAAACAUGCUAUGAUAGAGGAGAUGAAUGCUCUGAAAAAGAAUGAUACAUGGGAACUAGUUACUCUUCUGAAAAAAAACCAUUUGGUUGUAAAUAAGUAUAUACAGAAGCUAAAUACAUUUUAGGUCAACCACUACAUAGAAGCGAUAGUGAACCAAGCCGUAUAAAGGCAAGCAACCCUUAUAGCAACAACAAACGGCCUACUUAAAGCUUUUUUCCCCCGGGGACUUCAAUGGGCCUCACAAGCUCAUAAAACAGCAAUUUUUCACGUUUUCCUCAUACAUACUUCGUGAAAUGGUUUAUACAUGUUUGUUGUCGGGGGCGACAAGCUCAAGUUGGUAAGAAUUAAAAUAUCCCUUCAUUUCUUUUUUAUGAUCGAUGAUUAUACUCACAAAGCUAGUAACAACGUGGAUUUAAAUGAACAAGAAGACGAACUAAAGGGAAAGCAGCCAAGGCCAAGAGCAAGCAGGAGGAGUAGUCCUAUCUGUUUAGAAGGAUUCGAUAAAGAGAAUGUGGGUGGACAAGAGAUUCAUAGACACAUAAGGAAAAGACCAAAAGAAGCAAAAGUCACUCAGUUGUUUACGUGAAAUCAAAGAGAAACAGGUUCAUUUCCAAAGUGAUUGUGGACAAAUGGAAGGCAAUCUGCUUUUAUCCAGGGCAGAUCCAUUUCCAUUGUGGCUAGCUCAGCGGCAACGUCCUCUUUAGGGAAAUCUGGAAAAGUUUCAUACUAAGCCAGGCUAGCAAGAUGAGGUUCAAUGAAAGCUGCGAAGAUGAACUCUGUUCGUACCAUAAUCUCAUGUGCAACAAACUUCGGCUGGGCUAUUCAACAAUUGGAUGUAAAAAAUGUGUUCUUUCAUGGUGAUUUGGAGGAGGAAAUAUACAUGGAGAAACCCCUUGGUUUUACUUCAUCUACCACCAAGAGUAAGGUUUGUAAGCUACGAAAGGCUUUAUAUGAUUUGAAGCAAUUUCUCAGAGUCUGGUUUGGUAGAUUCCACAAAGCAAUUAUAAGCUUUGGGUACAAGCAGAGUCGAACAGAUCAUACUCUAUUUGUCAAACAUAUAAAAGGUAAGACUACCAUUCUUAUUGUUUAUGUUGAUGACAUUAUAGUGAUGGGGAAUAAUAGAGAAGAAAUAGUUAAUCUCAAAGCAAGACUGACCAAAGUGUUUGACAUCAGAGAUUUUGGUCCUUUAAAAUAUUUCCUUGGUAUUGAAGUUGCGAGAUCUUCCAAUGGGAUUUUUUUAUCUCAAAAGAAAUAUAUACUUGAUCUUCUAACAGAAACCAACAUGUUGGGAUGUAAGUAUGUUGAUUCUCCUAUUGAAGUUAAUCAUCAUAUAUUAGGUGGCUCGGGACCUACGAUUGAUAAAGAAAGAUAUCAACGUUUGGUGGGACGAUUGAUAUAUCUUUCUCAUAAUAAACCUGAUAAAUCUGAUAUCGACUAGUAUAUCUUUCUCAUGGUGGUCAUAUGAGAGUUGAAGCAUUUUUCGACUCAGAUUGGGCUGGCUUUAUAGAGGAUCGUUGUUCUACAUUUGGUUACUGUUAAUCUUGUUACUUGACGCAGUAAGAAACAAUCUGUGAUGGCAAGAUCCAGUGUUGAGGCCGAAUAUCGAGCUAUCGCCUUUCGCGAUUCAGAUUGGACUGGCUCUUUAGAGGAUCGUCGUUCUACAUCUUGUUAUUGUUCAUUUGUUGGAAACAAUCUUGUUACUUGGCGUAGUAAGAAACAAUCUGUGAUGGCAAGAUCCGGUGCUAAGGCCGAAUAUCGAGCUAUCGCCUUGGAUAUAUGUGAACUAAUGUGGCUUCGAACCUUGUUAGAAGAUUUGGGUGUUACAACUAAAAGGCCUAUGUAGUUAUUUUGUGAUAAUAAAGCAUUCAUUAGUAUUGCAAACGACCCAGUAUACAUUGAGAUUGACAGACACUUCAUUAAAGAAAAGUUAACUAGUGGUCUUAUUUGCUUACCUUUCGUCAAAAGAGAACAUCAGUUUGUUGAUAUUUUGACUAAGGGUCUUAGUUAGUAAGAUGUUUCAUCCAUUAUAUUUCAAGUCGGGUAUGUGAGACAUCUAUACACCAACUUGAGGGGAGUGUUGGAAGAUAUGAUUUUCAUAAUUGUAGUUAAUUUUAUCCCAUAAUUACUCUGUACAUAUUACUGUAAGUUAGGGAUGUCCAUAACUAUAAAGUAGGGAUUGUUAUACUUGUAUAUAUAAACCAAUAUAAUUGUCAUUAAUUGAGAAGAAUUUAAUUAAGAAAGAAUUACUAAAGAUCAGUUUCUUUUCUACAUCUUGUUCCAAAGUGCAUAUAUCCUUGUAAUCUUGGAUGCAGACACCAGUCAUUCAAGAGAAGGAACCUAUAUUGACAGUUUCACUAACACAACUUUAAAAUGCAUAGUUACAUUCUAUGGGACCUACUACCCGGUGAAAGCACGAGAGCAUUUAAUUUGAUAAUACAACCCUUCAAGAGCAACUCCAACACAUUAAUUACAUAAAUAUAUUUUAAUUCUUUGUUUGAAAAUAAUAUAUAUACUAUACACUGUUUAAGUAUCUAUAAAUAAUAAUUUAUGUACAAAACAACCAAGUAAUUCUUUGUAGCUCAGCGGGAGGAGUCAUGUUUAUGUUAUGAAGGGUGUAAACUUCUACUAUAGCUAGCACCUUUGCCCUUUUAAGUCAUUUUAUCUGUGGAUUUGAUAUCCGAUGAUAACAAUGCUACACAACAGUGACUCAGUGCAUUGCAGCGCUUAAACAAUGUUGCACUAUAUUACUCACUAAAAGCAGAGACAUUGGUAAGUUUACAGAUUCGAUUAUUUGAAUUCGCAAAUUUAGACAGGAUUUCGGGUGCAUGAGAAAUUGCAAUUCCAUGGCCCAACCAAGAGGGUCAUGACAUGGAUUUGGGUAGGUCAGAGAAAGAUGGUAUAAGCAAUAAACUUUCUGCAGACUGCACACAGAGAAGAUGAAGAGAAUGAAGAUGAAGAAUUUCCUUUUCAUACAUCUUUCAUGUCGAUGUAUGUGAUGAUCUAACAAAAAGGUCUACAAAGUAAUCCUUAUCACUAGCAAAAGGAAGCAACUAUUAAUAACCACAGAAUAGGGGGAAAAACUCAAAUGACAUUAAAAUCCAGUAAACAAAGACCAUAGACUGCAAUACUAUUUUAUACUAACUAGUAUUCUGGCGCACACUAUGUGUGUAGAAUGAAUGAGAAAAUGUUGUAGAGAAAAUAGGAUUGAUAAAGGAGUGGAGAGAGGGAAAAUAGAAAUUUUUGAGCUUAAAAAGUAACUACUCCUAUCUAAGGGUAAAUUUGAAAGUUAAAAAAAGCUUCACUUUUAGAGUUUACACCCAAACAACUGCCCAAUUUCCUCCGGCUUUAUAAUAUAGACAACUGUCAUCUCACAGCCAUAAUGAAAUUUUAGUUAUAAAUGUUGUAAUUUAAUAAAUAUAUGAAUUGCAUUUAGCGCAAAUUUAUUAUUCUCUCUCUUCCUUUCUCUAGUCCAUCUGAAAGAUCAGAUUUUUAAAACUGGAGCCAAAACAUCAAACGUUCAAUAUUACGCUUAAUCAAUAUAGGAUCAAGAACUACACUCCUUAAGUCAAAUUUUAACUAAAGAUGGGAAAAGAACCUAAGUUACAACAUAAAAGGUGUGAGGGCCUAACUGCUUCAAAACUGUCACCACAGUACACUUUCUUAUAAUUUGUGCUACUUCAAUUGCUCCAUUUUUGGUGUUAAGCAGUUUAAUUUCUGGUAAAAGUAACUUCCUCCUCUUAUAUAAGAUGAAAGAAAACUAUAAUUGCCACUUCCCAAGAAAAUUUGGUACACCUGACACAGCACUAUCAAAAUAUUCACACUGAAACAGGAAGCCAAACAGCUACAGAGAGAGAUGCAUAUAGCCUUUACCACGUAUGUUGUCUCUAGCAGUAGAGACUUUGUUAUAUAUUGCACCUUAUUUUAUACUUUUGUGACUUAUAAUAUGUCAUAUUUGAGUUUGAUAAAACUCAUCUGUGGACAUAAUUUAAGUAAGUAUAAAAGGUGUAAAUUAAUGUCCUCUACGUGGAGAAUAAAAGAGAAUUUUAUUUGAUUUGUGUAGAAAUCAUUUGAUUAGUGUCUAUAGUGAGACAUUUAGUAAGGUAUAAAAUUGUUUGAUAAAAACUAUUUUUCCUUAGUUCCAUUUAAUAGAAGUCUAUUUUAUUUUAUUUUUUGGAACAAAAGGAAAAUAUUGAGUGCUAUUUAAAUUCUAAUUAACCACUACAUUAAUACUAACUAGUAUGUAACUUACAUAUUUAAUAUUAAUAAGUAUGGUUAAAUAUAGAAUUAAAUAGUAUAUUAUGUAACUUACAUAUAUGUAUCUAUAUAUGUAUAUAUAUAUAUAUAUACGGUCCGGAUCUUAAGUUCACCCCUUUUAUCCAACUCACCCGAGCUCACCCCCUUUAGCGACGGACCCGGCGACGGUUCGGUCAUACAAUCGUCGUCUAUACUUUUAGUGACGGACAACAUAUAGCGUCGCUAAAAGUAUAGACGGCGGUUGUAUGACCAAACCGUCGCCUCGCUAAAGGAGAGUGAGCUCGGGUGAGUUGGAUAAGGGGUGAGCUUAAGAUCCGGACUCUCUCUCUCUCUCUCUCUCUCUAUAUAUAUAUAUAUAUAUAUAUAUUGAUAUAUACAUAAGAUUAGAUAUAUGCAUAUGUAAGAUAUAAAUUUACAUAUAUGAUUUUGCACAUGUAUUUUUUCUCUUUAUUCUAUCUUCUCCUAUUCUUCUGACAAACAAAUAACUACUACAAAGCAGUGUUCUAUUGGAAUUUUCUGUGAAUUGCUAUAACAGAUAAUUCACCAAGACUUGACAUAUAUCCUGGAGGUAUAUCGUCUGUAACUCUUAGCAAAUCGAUGGUGGAGGGAUCACCCGUGUCAUGUCUUCAACAACAAUUUUGACUCUACUAAACUACAAUUCUAACAAUCUCAAGGUCUUUAUCGUAUUUGUUAGUCAUGAUUUUGGUGAGAUGGAAGACAACACGGUUUUCAAAGAUAAGUGCCAUUUUUCUUGUAUCUAUUUUAUCAAUGGAAUUUUUAUGAUAAUUAGUAAUAUAUUGAGAUAUUAAGUUAAUUAUUUUUAUUGAUAAUUCCUGUUAAAAGAUGGAUUGUGGAGAAAAAUGAAAGUGAAAAGAUUUGCAAUUGACAAGUUUGUAAAUUGAUAUGGAGAAGAUGAAGUCAUCAUGGAAAACACCAAAUUUUGAUGCCUAAAAUUUUUUCUAAAGAGAUUGUGGUGUUCUUCGGAUUUAAUUCCAAAAUGUGUGUUUUUUAACAUUAACCUUUAUUUUUAUAAAUGAUAAUUACGUCAUUUUGUAUGUUUAUAUACUAGAAACUAUAUGUUUUAUGUAUUAUAUCAUGUGUAGAUGAUAUUGUAUGUUUGAAUAUUAUUUUACCUACAUUUUGUUGUAAUAAAUUAAUUAAUUAAUUUUGUGGGAUAAUAAAACUAAUUAAAUUUUUGUUCAUGAUGGAAUAAAUUUAAUUUUGUACAUAUAUAUUUUGUUUAUAAUAUUUUAUGAGUAGAUAAAAUAUUUGAUGUGUAUAUGUAUGAAAUUUGAGACAAUUAUUUUCUUAUACACUAAUUGAGAUUAAUUUAUUAUGAGAAAGUUGUAGUCAAAUUUGAGAAGUUUACUUGUCUCUAUGUAUAACAAAUUAGUUGUAAAUUAAUUUAUUUUAAGAAUAUAGUAAAUUUAUGUUCUUCUUGAACAAAAUUAUGCAUAGUAAGUUUGAGGUAAUAUUUAGUGUGUAACAUUACUUGAUAUUUGUAUACAUGAAUUUUGAGAUAAAUUACUUUGUUUGUGGAUAAUAAAUUAAUUAUGAACUAAUAGUUAGAAGAGAUAUUGUAGAAGUAGAUUUGGUUGAGUAAAUCUUGUAUACAAUAUGUUUUUGAUGUUGAGAAAACACUUAGAAAUGAUAUUCGUAGUGUUUUUAGGAUAAUCAUAAUUGGUACAUGUUGAUUUAUUUUUAUGUGUACUUCUUGUCCAAGAAGUAGUAAAUUUUAAUGUGAUUAUAUGAAUUUUGUAUAUUCUAAUUGAGAUUAAUAUUUUAUUUUUUGACUUUUUACAAAUAUAGUGAAGUUCAAGUAUUUCAUAAUAAUAUGAUAAUUGUCUUGAAUUCUAUAUUUAUAAUUUUCAAAAGAUAUAAUGUUUAUGAUAUUUCAUGUCUAAGUUGGGAUAAGAAAACACUUGAGGAUAUACUAAUUCAUCAUGUGUGUAAAUUUUAUUUGUUUUCUAUAUAAAUUAAUUUUGUUUGAGAUAAAUUAAUUUCUUAGAAAGUAAAUAUAAUUUUUUAUAUUUUAUUAUUUAUAUACAAAUAAAUUUGAGCAAUAUGAUGAGUUGUGCUAUAAUUUGUAUAUAAUGAAUUUUAUACUAUUUACAUAGAGUCAAGUGUUAUGUGUUGGCAUACUUGAAAAUUGUACAUGUAUAAUUUUAAGUGCUUAUAUUAAAUAAUUUUUGAGAUUUGAGAUUUUAUGUAAUUCAGAAAAUAAGAACUUGUUUUCUUAUCUGGGGGUGUUCUAAAAGAUUCUUAAGUUGAAGCAAUAUUUAUAUGAAUAACUAAUACAUAAAAUGUACAAGAACUUAUUUUUUAUUUUGAGAAGUGUUCCUUAAUAUUCUCACGUGGAAGUAAUAUUUAUAGGAACAUUGUUACAUAAAAUGUCAAUUAAUCUAAAAUUUAUUUUAAGUAGUGAGCAUAAUAUUGUGAAGUGAAAUUAUUCAAUGAGAUAUCAAUUAUUUAAAAGUGUGGGGGUGAUUCUUUAAUAUUUUUAUUUUGGUCUUUGAACCAUUUGGAGCAUAAAUUUAUUUAUGUAAGAAAUUGUAAGAUUUAUGAAUUUCUUGUUGCGAAAUUCAAUUUGAUUGUGUAGUUCUGUGAAAUGAAAGUCUUUAAAACACAAACUUUUGAAUAAUAUUGAAGUGUGAACUUAUUUCACUUAAUUAAUUAUCUAAGGUUCAACAAAGUUAUAAACUGAACCUAGAAAGAGCAAUAUUGAUUUGGUGAAGGAAAUCAAUAUAAUAAUUUGGUAAAUAAAAUACCUAUUUUAUUAGCCUAAAUAUGAUCCAAAAUAUUUAUUGUGAUUUAGUUCAAUAGUGAGACUGAAACUACGUUAUAAAUAUUCAAGUGGAUACAUAUUAGGUGAUAAUAUGUGCAUAUUAACCUUGAAAUUCUAUCGGAUAUAUAAUUAUUUAUAUGUUUACACUAACAAUAUAAUUGUAUAAACUAUAAUGUGAUAGUUUUUGUGUAUAUUAAUGAUAUGUUGAUCAUUUUACAUAGUAUUGUUAACGUAAACGAGUUUAAGAAAUAUUUAUUUUUAUCUUUAUGUUGAAAGACUUGUAAAAUAGAUGUUAUCUUAUUAUCAUGUGAAAACAUAGUGAGGAUUCCAACUAAACCAAUUAAAUUGUGUUAGGAGGCUAUACUAAACUAAGUUUGAUAUACCUUGAGAUUGAAGAAUUUAAUAAUUCUUUAAUAGUAGUGGUACACUAAAAGUUAAUUUUGAUAUAGCUAUUGUAAAACUGAAGUACACAUUCGCUAGUGGGAGCCUUGUGUUUGAUAUGCAAUGCACGAGAUCAGAUAUUACAUACAGUUUUAAACUUAGUAUACUAAUGAUUUACAUUGGUUUUUGUUAGAUCUCUCAAUGUUUUAAUAGAUCACAUAAGUGUCACUUAUAUUUUAGUAAGGAAAAUUAUAAAUUUACAAGUAGGUGAAUUUUCACUCAAUCUUAGGUUUUGUUUCUUAGAUGAGUAAGAAACAAAUGACUAUUUGCCAUUUCACAAUAUGAAUCUAAUGUUAUUAUUUUAUAAGGGAAGUUUAAUGGAUUAGGGUGUUUGUUAAAACAUUGAUUGUAACCUAAUCUAAAGCCUCCUAUUUCACAAUAUUGUGAUUAGUGAAAUUUUUUAUGUAGUACAAAUUAUUAAUCUUGGAUUCAUAAUUAGUUGUGAUCUUGAAUAAGUAUGAAAAUAUUCACAAGUAGGUGAAUAUAUAAUUAUAUUUUUACAACUAGGUGGAUAUAUUAUUACUCUUAGUGAGGGAAUAAUUUACUUGGAGUAACAAGUAAUACUAUUGCUUUAUAUGAUGGAGAAAGCAAAUGGAAUCGAAAUUUGUUGUUAAAACAUCAAAUUGUGGCCACUUCCAUUGCUUAGUUCAUUAUGAUGUGAUAAUGAAAUUGUUUUGUAUAGAGCAUAUGAGAUUACCUUUAAUGGCAAGUCUUGACAUGUUGGUCAUAGACAUAAUUUUUAUUAGUACAAGAAGGUAUUAUAAUAUUUAUCUACGAGAAAGUCAAGCGACAACUUGACUUAUCUUUUUACUAAGACUUUGACGAGAUCUUAGUAAGUUUAACUACUUGUGAUAUGAAACUUAAACCACUUUUAGUCAGGGGUGAUGGGAACCCAACUUAUUCUUAGGUUACCCCUAGUUUAUAGGUUCAAUGGGAAAAACAAAUCAUAGUUGCUGAUUGUGUUACUAUCGAUGUGGUUCCAUAUGUAGUUUAAGAUAGUAACGCCUGUUGCACGACCGAGGCUGAGUUAUACUCUUAACAAAGUUGUUGUGUUCUUAGCAACAGAAACACAUGUGAAACACUUUGCCUAUAUGAACUAGAAGUGGAGCCGCUUCUUAUAGAAAGUUGUGGUUUACUCUCUUAGAGGUUCAUGAAACAGGGUAUUGCGCAUGGCCAUAUUAGCGCAAAGCAAUUGAGAAUACUCACCAUGGUAGGAGGAAUUUGUGUGUGUGUGACAAUUCCGGUCAUAUCAUAUAAAAGUAGAGGUUCAAUCUACGGACACCUUCAACUUCGAUGUGACUUUGAGUUGUUUACACUAAGGGAAGGUUCAAUGUUCGUCACACCCUCUUUUAUGCACACAUACCUUAGAGUUGUUUGAUAGGAAAUUGUUUGGAUAAAAAAAUAGUUUUUCCAAACAAGUGGGGGAUUGUUAUAUAUUGCAGCUUAUUUUAUACUUUUGUGACUUAUAAUAUGUCAUAUUUGAGUUUGGUAAAACUCAUUUGUGGACAUAAUUUAAAUAAGUAUAAAAUGUGUAAAUUAAUGUCCACUACGUGGAUAAUAAAAGAGAAUUUUAUUUAAUUUGUGUAGAAAUCAUUUGAUUAGUGUCUAUAGUGAGACAUUUAAUAAGGUGUAAAAUUGUUUGAUAAAAACUAUUUUUCCUUAAUUCCAUUUAAUAGAAGUCUAUUUUAUUUUAUUUUUUGGAACAAAAGGAAAAUAUUAAGUGCUAUUUAAAUUCUAAUUAACCACUACAUUAAUACUAACUAGUAUGUAACUUACAUAUUUAGUAUUAAUAAGUAUGGUUAAAUAUAUAAUUAAAUAGUAUAUUAUGUAACUUACAUAUAUGUAUCUAUAUAUGUAUGUAUAUAUAUAUAUAUAUAUAUAUGUUGAUAUAUAUACGUAAGAUUAGAUAUAUGCAUAUGUAAGAUAUAAAUUUACAUAUAUGAUUUUGCUUUUGCACAUGUAUUUUUUCUCUUUAUUCUAUCUUCUCCUAUUUUUCUGACAAACAAAUAACUACUACAAAUCAGUGUUCUAUUGGAAUUUUUUGUGAAUUACUAUCACAGAUAAUUCACCAAGGCUUAACAUAUAUCCUGGAGGUAUAUCGUUUGUAAGCAAACCGAUCGUGGUGGGGGCGAUAAAGACCUUAAGGAUAAGGAUCACCCGUGUCAUGUCUUCAACAACAAUUUUGACUCUACUAAACUACGAUUCUAACAGACUUAAUGAUGGAAUUUUAUGAGUUUAUUAUGUAGUCCAACUCCUUUAACUUGUGAAUAUUUGGCACGCUUCAGGGUCAACGAAAGCACAUAAUAUUAACUUAUCAUAAACAAAUAACAUAUAGUAAGAAUUAGGACAUAAUGAAUAAUUAAUUGAUACUCUUAUAUGGCGGAAUCAAACUAGGUUUCUUGGUAAGACUUUUAUAGGUCAUCCAACUUAAAUAUUGUCACUGAUAUAUUUCAAGAAGGUUCAUCAGUUUAUUGGCCAAUUACUGCCAGCCGUAUUAAGGGGACGUGACCAUUCCAAGACUCACCUUGCCCUUCAACUUUUCCAUGACUGCAAAUAUAUCAGAAGCCUUAGGUCCAACUAACAUAAACCAUGAAAUGUACCUUAAUGGUACCAGUUGACUACAAAUUUAAAGCCAAUCCAUGCAUUAUGGGAUUUAGAUUGUUCUAAAAUAACUUCACCAUCACAAAAAAGAGCGACACUCUUUGAAGUGCUUUGAGCACAUUACCUAAACAAGACUACAUACAAAUUUAUCUUAUUGGAAACGUAGAAAUUACUUAAAUUAAUGUACGACUUAGAUUAGCUCAAUUUGCUGCAGUAUCAUGGUAAAUAAUUUGAUUCUGAACAAAUCUUUAGAAGUCCACAGAAAAUCGCAAACAACUGAAUUAGAGAAACCAGUAGAACAAAAAUUCGAACAGAGAUGCCAAUAAACCGAAAUGGGAAAAGGGGAACUUACUGUCCCAUAACUCAGUUGCCCGGAGCUCGGCAAAUUGCAAUAUUGUCCAACGUGACAUUGAACUGGACACGUCGUAUCAAAUGAAGAACUAACAAAUCCUCCCCUUUCUUGAUCCAUUAUCAAUAAAUAAACUUUUACACUCUCGGUGAGAUGAUUUGCAGAUGCGGAAGCCAAGAAUAUACGUGUAGCUAGGAUGACACUGAGGCGGGGGGCGUCUGAAGAAAUUUGCAUACCGACCCCUCCCGACAUCCAAUAUCCUCCCUGGCCCGGACGGCCGGGUUUAAAAGAUUAAAGUCCCGUUUAUUGCAGCUUAUCGAAACUUUCAAUAUACAAUAUAAAUAAAUUUUAAAAACAUUGG